UCCCAAAACUUCGCGUCAUAAACACCUUCCAGAUCUACCCCAAAUCACGCCGCCGAGCAAACUCGCCUCCUCAUCGCUCUGCUCUGGGAAAUCAUCGUACCAAUCGCUCCAGCCAUGCCGCUUGUUUCCCUCGAGAUCUUCACCUCCCCUUCCACCUCGUUCACUCGUGCGCCGGCAACACGCGCGGCGCUCCGCCGCGAGGAGAUGUCGUUGGGGCAUCACAAACGGGCGGUUGGCGCAGGUGGUGCGAGAGGCGACUUAACCAUGCCGUCUAAGCUACCAUCCGACGACCAAAUCUGCAGGCCAUAGACUGCUUCGACUGCUCACUUCAGCGACUACACGAUUCGGGGAGAGAAGUCAGUGAUGUUGCUAUACUGCCGAUCGAGUACGCCGCAACUGGGACACAAAUGCCUUAUUGAGGAGGAGCUUGCAGCGGGUGGGAGAUCAUCCAUGAUCAGCCCAUACAACGGUCAAUAAUACUGGUUGGGGAGAAGUGAGAAAAGUGUUGUUGUAAUAUUGUUUAAAUUUGUCACUAGAAGAGUUGUAAUUUUUUGUUUAAAUCAAAUAAUGUGUACAUUGCUUCGUGCUUCAUGUCGUGCUUCCACAGAUUUUUUGUGAAGCAAAUAUUUUCAUCA